CCCCAGUCCCUAAACAGAUGUGUCAGAUAGCCUUUAAUGAUCUUCUCUUACGAGGUAGAUAUAAGGCAGGUUUUCCUAGAUAUCUCUCCCCACCCCCCGUAAAGCGGUACCCUUUAAAUCCUGCAGUCAAGCAGCAAACGAUUCCCAGCGAGGAUCUCGGAGUUGGGAUGAACAUGCCCGGGAUCGGGCGGGCGGCGGGGCUGCAGCUUGAAAGCGGUGCGGAGUUUUUGUUUUGGCUGCUGCGGGCUCCUUUCCUCUCUUGAGCUGAAGAAGAUGGAUUCUGUCCUGCUCGUUACCUUCGCGAGGGAUCCUUGUUUAAUGAGUCCGUACAGACGGUUUGCUGCUUGGCAUUUACUUGUGUAGUCUUGUUGAAGUUUUGGUGGUUGUUGCUUUUAUUCUCCUUUAAAAAAAAAAGACAAAAAAAAAAAAAAAAACCAAAAACCAAACCCAACACAAAAACCUAAGGGUUGGAGCCCGUCUUCCUCCUCUUACAAAGGAAAAUUGUAACUUAAAAAAAAAGGAGAGCAAAGGAGGAAUUAAUUAACAAGUGCCAGUCCACACUUUCCUUUACCUACCAGCUAUUGGCAAGCAUGUCAAGUCGAUUUUAUUUGCACACAAUGGAAAUGAUUUAUUUUCUCUUAAAAAGGAGUGGGCUGGCAGAUAUUUGAGGAGGAGAGGAGAGCGAGAGCGAGAGAGGAAAAAAAGUUUGAAAAUGCCUUGAACUAUUCACUGUCGAGAUGGCUAAUCAGUAUUGAGGCUCGAGGGCACUCGGGCAGCUUUUCAAUGCGGUUUUCCUUUCAUCUCAAGCUGGAUGGAGGCGCUCAAUUAAAAGCCUAUCAGUUUGUCAGGCUGGCGAGCUGCAAACCCUGGUCAGGAUCACCCAAAAACCCGGACUGACUAUUUUUCCCUCGGGAGAGGAAACUGCAGAAACCUCGGCACCAGCGUGACUGCUCUGCGAGCUUGCUCUCUUGCCAUUUAAGUGUCAGCUUUUGUAGAUCAUGUUGGAAAAGGGCGUUUAGUCUUUUAAACUGAACAGCAACAACCCUACAGGCCCUUUAGAUUUUUUUUUUCCUUUCCACCCCCCUCUCUCUUAUAUCGUUUACAACAAGGUUAAGCUUUUAAUUAACAGAAACGUAGUUACUGAGUUGUGUCUGGGAUAUAUUUCCAUGCAUAACACAGUUCAGCUAUCUGUCUGUCCAUUCUGUGCGUCAAAUUUAUUUGCUUUUUUAGUGCGUGCGUUUCACUACCUACCCCAAGGUAGAUUUUUGUAAGCGGUGCACACCUCCCCCCCCCCCCUUUUA